CAGUAGCCGCGGUAAUACGAGGGGGGCAAGCGUUGUUCGGAAUUAUUGGGCGUAAAGGGUGCGUAGGCGGUUUGACAAGUCUUAUGUGAAAUCUCUGGGCUCAACCCAGAGUCUGCAUGGGAAACUGUCGGGCUUGAGUAUGGGAGAGGUGAGUGGAAUUUCCGGUGUAGCGGUGAAAUGCGUAGAUAUCGGAAGGAACACCUGUGGCGAAAGCGGCUCACUGGACCAUAACUGACGCUGAGGCACGAAAGCUAGGGGAGCAAACAGGAUUAGAUACCCCUGUAGUCCCUGUCUCUUAUAA
rnacentral:rRNA from 1 species